AAUAAAUGUAGUUUUACACUAUUUAUAUCUAAUGUUUAAUCAUUUAUCUUAUUUUAAAAAAUUUGUAUGAUUAUUAUUUUUAUUGUUAUUAGAUGAUAAAACAUAAAUAGUACUUUAUGGAUGACUUUUUAGUUUUUUCAUAAAUUUUUCAAAUAAGACGAACGGUAAAACGUUAGACACGGAUACUCACGACUGUACUUAUU
rfam:Oryza rufipogon genomic scaffold, chr01